UAGGGAAUCUUCGGCAAUGGACGAAAGUCUGACCGAGCAACGCCGCGUGAGUGAAGAAGGUUUUCGGAUCGUAAACUCUGUUGGUAGAGAAGAACGUUGGUGAGAGUGGAAAGCUCAUCAAGUGACGGUAACUACCCAGAAAGGGACGGCUAACUACGUGCCAG
rnacentral:rRNA from 1 species